rnacentral:lncRNA from 1 species
UUUUUUUUUUUUGGUAAUCAAGAUCUCUAUUUGUAACACCGUAAGAGAUCACAUAUUUAAUUUCAUUUUGUUUCAAUAAAUAAUGUUUGAUUUGCAAAAUACAAUUUUAUUAUUUCUCUUUUCCUUCUCUCUUGUUUCGUAAGUACAACAAAUAAUUUUCUGAGUAAAGACAUAGAUAAGGUAAAUCACGCCAUAUUUGCUUUCAUUUAAAAAAGUAUUUUAUUAAUUUUGUAUUGACUAUGUUUUUGUUUAAUUUUUGAUUUAGCUAUCUAUUCUUUUAAUGUUUCUAUUUUUGUAUUUUUUUGGUUCCCAUAAGGUAGCCAGUGGCGCCCAAUAUUUUAUUUCAUUUUAUUUGAUAUUCUUAUCUUGAUUUUUCUAUUUUUUAUUUCUAAGCUAAUAAGAGCAUUUUAAUAACAUCUUGUUAAGAACCACCCCAUAUCUCUUCCGAUUCUGAGCAACCGUGGACUUGUUCUCCAAAUUGUGUAACACGUCACAUCCUUAUAUAACAUAUCAACAUCGUGUCAAAUUCUAUUUUCCAUUCAUGUUUCACUGGCGCCCACCGUCGAGGCUCUGGCAUUUGACGUGUUAAUGUUAUAGUACUCGCAUUUCAGAACGACAUUUGGAAAUUCACAGUGAAGAGAAACCUUAUAAGUGUGAAGUUUGUUCAACACAAUUUUCUCAAGCAGUUAAUUUGAAAGUACAUUUGAGAUUGCACACUGGUGAAAAACCUCACAAGUGUGAAAUUUGUUCGAGGCAAUUUAUUACUAGUAGUGAGUUGAAAAGACACAUAAGAGUGCAUACUGGAGAAAAACCGCAUGAGUGUGAAACUUAUUUAAAGCGGUUUAUUACUACAAGUGAUUUGAAAAAACAUUUGAAAGUGCACACCGGAGAAAAACCACACCAGUGUGAAAUUUGUUUAAGGCAGUUUAUUACUACAAGUGAUUUGAAAAUACAUAUAUUUGAGAGUACACACUGGUGAAAAACCAUACAAGUGUGAAACUUAAUUUAAUCUUUGGCUGGGCACGCCUUAAAGGAUUACACCGUUGGGUGCGCUGCAAUUUGCUGCCAUGUAGUUCCUUAUUAUUUUCGACACCUUUUUGAAGUUAUACUUCUUUAGACGCGAUUGGGAGUGAAUGUAAAUAUGCGCCAAUUCAUCAAAAUUGUUGGUGCCAGGCGCAGAUACAUUAUACGUUAGCUCUGAUAGGUACGGAUAGAUGUUACAACCCAUUCCGCUGUGUUGCCAAAUUUUUAAUGAGUAUCGAAACGCGGCAGAUUUAAAAACAUGUCAAAAUAUGUUGUUUUAUUUUACAUGUUCUAAAAAUGAAUCAAAUCUAUUUUUUCUAAUUUAAUAAUUGCUUGUAUAAAAAAUACCUAGAUGGUACGUAAAAAAUAUAUAUUUCGUUUGUUAUCCGGUAGAUAAGCUUUAAAAGUAAGUUUGGAUUAUGAACACACCUGAUUUUUGUGUUUAUUUUUAUAUUUUCAGCUUUAACCUAACCUAACAUCAUCGGGUUCAAAGAUGAUUUUAUCGUUUUUAUUUCCAUUUUGGAAGAAGGAAUGAAGGAAAUGUAAGUAAAUCAAAGAUUUACAACUUAAAAAAUAAGUAUACAAAGUCGUAAGGUUUAGAAAUACAUUUCCAUAUUUUAAU